rnacentral:misc_RNA from 1 species
UUUUUAUGAACUCGGUUAAAAAGUUCUUAAUGUUAUUAAAAAUAAAAAUUUAGGAAUUUAAUUAGAAAUAAUAAUUCUUAAAAGAUAGCAAAUAAAUAAAGUUAAGGACCUUAAAAAUAAUUUUUUUCCCCUAAAAAUUGUCUUUUAAAAAAAAUUGAGAAUAAAAAUAGAUUAAGAUUAUAAUAAUUUUUAUUUAAAUCCGAUUCAUUAUAUACCCAUUACCCAAUUCAUUAGAUAAUUCAAUUACCAACUGAUAAAAGAAUGCAGGGUAACAGAUAUGAUUACCUUCAAAGAGAGAUGA